GCCAGUGUGGUGUAGUGGUUUGAGCAUUGGAUUAUGAUUCCAGAGACCAGGAUUCAAAUCUCUGCUUGAUCA